GACGAACGCUGGCGGCGUGCCUAAUACAUGCAAGUCGUGCGGACCUUUUAAAAGCUUGCUUUUAAAAGGUUAGCGGCGGACGGGUGAGUAACACGUGGGCAACCUGCCUGUAAGACUGGGAUAACGCCGGGAAACCGGGGCUAAUACCAGAUCGUUUUUUCCUCCGCAUGGAGGAAAAAGGAAAGGCGGCUUCGGCUGCCACUUACAGAUGGGCCUGCGGCGCAUUAGCUAGUUGGCGGGGUAACGGCCCACCAAGGCAACGAUGCGUAGCCGACCUGAGAGGGUGAUCGGCCACAUUGGGACUGAGACACGGCCCAAACUCCUACGGGAGGCAGCAGUAGGGAAUCUUCCGCAAUGGACGAAAGUCUGACGGAGCAACGCCGCGUGAGUGAAGAAGGCCUUCGGGUCGUAAAACUCUGUUGCCGGGGAAGAACAAGUGCCGUUCGAACAGGGCGGCGCCUUGACGGUACCCGGCCAGAAAGCCACGGCUAACUACGUG
rnacentral:rRNA from 1 species